rnacentral:rRNA from 1 species
UAAAAUUAUAAAAUCAAAAAACUAAAAAUAACCUUAACUAAAUUAAGCUAAAUUUAAUAAAAGCAAAUAAAAUAAAAAAUACUGAAAAGAAAAAUCCAAAAUUAAAAUAAUUGAAUUAAAAUCUCCUACCUUGUGUAUAAUGGACUUUCAAAAUAAAAUUUAAAUAAAAAUUCCCGAAAAUAAACGAGCUAGUAUUAUUCUGUUAAGAACUUUGACAAAAUGUGGCAAAAUUUUUUUAUAGAAAUAACACUAGAAACGAAAUAUUAUUCGCGUUUAUAGAUAGCUGGUUAUUCCUAAAAAGUAUAAAAGUACUACUUUAAUUAUUAAAACGAAUUAACUUUGGGAUAAGCUAAAGUUAAAAAAAGAAAUGUAAAAGUAAACACAAAAAUCUUUCUAAACUUAAUAGUAGUUAAGAAAAAAUACUUCUCUCAAAAUAAAUAUUAAAAAUAAUCUAUUAUAAAUUAAGCAAUCAAAAAAAUAAGGAGUAAUAAAGAAAAACAAUUUAACUUUAAAUAAACUGAAUAGUAUAAAUAUUAAAAUAAGAUAAAAACAUAAUAUAAAUUAAAUAGAUAAAUGAACUCGGCAAAGAAAGCAACGCCUGUUUAAUAAAAACAUCGCUCUCAGAAAUUAUUAAGAGUAUUGUCUGCCCAGUGACUGAUUGGUUUAACGGCCGCGUAUUAGUGCUAAGGUAGCAUAAUAAUUUGCCUUUUUAUUGAAGGCUAGUAUGAAUGGCAUAACGAAGCUUAACUGUCUCUAACUAUAUAAAAAAAAAUUAGUAAAAAAGUGAAAAAACUUUUUUAUUAUUGAAGGACGAAAAGACCCUAUAGAGCUUUAAUAUAAUUAGUAAAUUAAGUUUAAAGAAAAAACUAUAUUAACUUAUAUAUUUUUAUUGGGGCAAUAGAAAAAAAAUUUAAUACGUAAUUUUGUUAUAACAAACAAAAAAAACCUCAAAGAGAAUAAAUAUAAGCUACCUUAGGGAUAACAGCGUAAUCUUACCAGAGAGACCUAAUCAAAGGAAAGGUUUACGACCUCGAUGUUGGACUAAGAAAACCUAAAGGUGUAGAAGUCUUUAAAAGUUGGCCUGUUCGGCCAUUAAUAUCUUACAUGAUCUGAGUUUAGGUCGGCGUAAGCUAGUCCGGUUUCUAUCCUCAAUAAUAUAAAAUCUUUAUUUUUAUUACGAAAGGAACUAAAUAAAAAGUUAAACUUAAAAUUUAUAAAAAAUAAUUUAAUAAAAAUAAAAUUCAUAUA